AUACUCGCUCCAGCAGCACAUAUACUAAAACUGGAACAAUAUAGAGAAGAUUAGCAUGGCCCCUGUGCAAAGAUCACACUCAAAUUCAUGAAGAGUUCCAUAUUUUU
ensembl:snRNA Gm22301 predicted gene, 22301